rnacentral:rRNA from 1 species
GACGAACGCUGGCGGCGUGCUUAACACAUGCAAGUCGACUUGAACGGCGCUGCUGGUGUGGGGUGGGCGAGUGGCGAACAAAGGAGUAACAUGAGAGUAACCUGCACCUGACUUUGGGGUAUCCUAAGGCAAGUGGGGCUGAUACUGGAUCGGCGUUCCUUCAUCAAGGUGGGGUGCGGUGUGAUUCGGCGGUUGGGGAUGGUCUCGCGGCUGAUCAGCUUGUUGGCGGGGUAGUGGCUUACCAAAGCUUUGACGGGUAGCCGGCCUGAGAGGGUGACCGGCCACAUUGGGACUGAGAUACGGCCCAGACUCCUACGGGAGGCAGCAGGGGGGAAUAUUGCACCAUGGGCGGAAGCCUGAUGCAGCAACGCCGCGUGCGGGAUGACGGCCUUCGGGUUAUAAACCGCUUUCGCCUGUGAUGAGGCGAGAGUGACGGUAAUAGGUGAAGAAGCACCGGCUAACUACGUG